CAUGAUAUACGAAGACUUUGAAGAUGUUUCAGCCAGGAAUGCUGCAUCCCGCCGCUCUGUUGAAGACUUCAAGGUGCCUGCUGCAGCGCCUGGAAUGAAAAUGUACAGACUGGUUGUUGUGAGUUUUGGACUCCUGUGUAUCCUACAAGCUGCUCUCAACAUUUCCCUGCGUCUCACUCGCUUUUCACAGCAAAACUCCCUGAC